GAGGGGACCUCAGAACAGGGCACCUGAUCUAAGACCUGAACGACGAACAAGUGUCUGGUGCCAAGCACUUGACCACCCCACUUUGUCUCACACAACCGGUGAGGUGGGGGCGGGAGAUACAGAGUGUAAUGUGCCCCCACUUCCCAUCCUUUCUGCCCUUUGCCUGUCUACAUGGUCUGACUUCAUCUAAAUUGACCAAGGGAGCUGGGUCUCUAACGGCUGACAUGAGGGAAGCCUGAAAGAGACCACUCAGUGCCAGGCCUCCCCCAAGCCAGCCAAAAGGGAAGGAAGGGGGACCUCUGCGCAGCCAGGCCUGCCUUCGGCCUGCCUCUGGCUUGGGAACUGCACGGAAACUCCACGGACACUUUGGAGAGUAGAAAAAAAUACAUAUAUAUGAAUUUGGCAUUUUUGGGGUGGUCUUACAGCUUUUCCAAUGUCAUUAGAACCAGACCCAUAAAAUCCGUUGAGAUUUUAGCAGCUCUUAGAAGGAGACUGACUCGGGGCGCCUGGGUGGCUCAGUCGGUUAAGCGGCCCACUUCGGCUCGGGUCAUGAUCUCGCAGUCCAUGAGUUCAAGCCCUGCGUCGGG